ensembl:snoRNA small nucleolar RNA SNORA2/SNORA34 family
UUGGCCCAAUCAAGGCCAGCAGCUUGAGGUAGCUGUUGGUUUCAAAGGGAGCCUACAUGAACUCCUUCCUGUGGUCUGUUGGUUUUCCCAGAGUUGCAAAGGGGCUAAUCAAUUCAGUUGGAAGGCACAAUU